GGAAUAUUGGUCAAUGGACGGAAGUCUGAACCAGCCAAGUAGCGUGCAGGAUGACGGCCCUAUGGGUUGUAAACUGCUUUUUUAGGGGAAUAAAGUUAGCCACGUGUGGUUAUUUGCAUGUACCCUACGAAUAAGGACCGGCUAAUUCCGUGCCAGCAGCCGCGGUAAUACGGAAGGUCCGGGCGUUAUCCGGAUUUAUUGGGUUUAAAGGGAGCGCAGGCUGAUGAUUAAGCGUGACGUGAAAUGUAGCCGCUCAACGGCUGAACUGCGUCGCGAACUGGUUAUCUUGAGUGAGUUCGAUGUUGGCGGAAUUCGUGGUGUAGCGGUGAAAUGCUUAGAUAUCACGAAGAACUCCGAUUGCGAAGGCAGCCAACAAGGCCUUUACUGACGCUAAAGCUCGAAGGUGCGGGUAUCGAACA
rnacentral:rRNA from 1 species